GGCCUCAUCUUCUAACGGUUAGGAAAUCGGGUUCUCAUCCCGGCAAUCGGGGUUCGAUUCCCCGUGAGGUCACCA
rnacentral:tRNA from 1 species